rnacentral:rRNA from 1 species
UACGGGGGGGGCAAGCGUUGUUCGGAAUUACUGGGCGUAAAGGGUUAGUAGGUGGCCAACUAAGUCAGACGUGAAAUCCCUCAGCUUAACUGGGGAACUGCGUCUGAGACUGAUUGGCUCGAGGACAGGAGAGGAACGCGGAAUUCCAGGUGUAGCGGUGAAAUGCGUAGAUAUCUGGAGGAACACCGGUGGCGGAGGCGGCGUUCUGGACUGUUUCUGACACUGAAUAACGAAAGCCAGGGGAGCAAACGGG